CAGAUCUUCUGGGCAACGAAGACACAGCUUUUGAGGAGCUCGUUCUUGAAGCAGCACCUGUACAAGUUGAAACUGCCAAGAAAUCCAAAAGGAAGUAGAGAAGUUAUCAGGUAUCGGGAAACGCACCUCAGGAAUCUGCACAUUUGAGCCGGAAGGAAAUGCCUGCAGCCUGACUGACAGCACGGCAGAGGAGCACGUGCUGGCCUUGGUGGAGCACGCAGCUGACGAGGCUCGGGACAGGAUCAGCCGGCUCUCAUAGGGGGCAAGGAAGUCCUUCUGGCCUCAGCAUCGGGGAGCAGCCAGAGGUGACCCACGACCCAUACGAAUUGCUUCAGUUUCCAGAACCUGCAGCCUCUGCAAAGAGCUAGCCUUGUAGAUAGACUUCCGUUAGUUUUUUAUUUUUUUAUUUGUGUGUACAGAGUUUUUGUCCGUGAGACAGAGACUUUCGUUUAGUCCCCUCUGGCGUGCGGGAAGCAGCCCCGGGGAGGUGGGGAGGUGUCUCUGGCAUCAUGUCAGCCACACGCGGAUCCCGUGUUUCUGUGGGUAGCCCCGUGAAUCCUGGACAGUGGACAGCACACAUACAGGUGUGUGACCGGGUGGGGUUGAGCCGCUGUGCUUUGUCUCUUGAGCUUUGAGGGGUCUGUAAAGCUCCUCUCUGUGGCUGGCCGGGACAUACCAUCCUGCCCCAGCUUUCUUCCUGAGCACCCCCUGGGAGGCAAGAGAUGCCCACGUUGAGGGUCCUGUGUGCUGUUUGCCCUGCCCGCCCUCCCCGCCGUCCCCACAUUUCCGAAGCAGGUCAUGGUGGGGCCGCACCCUCCUGGCCUGGGAUAGGCUCUGUGCUGGGCGAGGCCUGCCUUCUGCUGGAAGCUGACACUGCCCCCUGACGACAGUGAUGUGCUGUGUCCAUAGACUUUUUUAAUCUGGAUGUGUUUACUGGAUGCUUGUUUACAUUUGCAAAAUGUAGAGAUCUCAAUAAAAUACAGAGCGAUUGCAUGUAAUUGUCUGCAGCCCCAUAGGUGUCCA